CGUUGCGACUUGCGAGUGUCGGUGGUGUCGGACUGUCGGUUAAGAGGCGUACACAUCAAGAAUUCGUGGUAGUGAAACAGCAAUGCAAAGCACCGCGUGUGAAUUGUCCUUAGAGAGAAGAAAAAAAUUUCACACAGUUAGUAAGGUAAGAAUUGUAGAAUUCCAGAGAAGAGUUAAGUAAAAGUUGAAGUGUGAAAAUUAAAGUCUUUCAAUAAGAUAUGACAACACAAAGUUGAAGAAUUUACUAAUUUAGCCCUGACUGCUGGAGUGGAGUGGCGCCAAUUUGCUGUUAGCCCCUUUUGUGAUGUCAUGGUGAUGUGUUCAAUGUCAAGUAAUGCAUAUUAAUAGCUGGACCUGCUGGACCCUGACAAAUUAUUACUCGCACUUGAGAACAGGCUGGUAAAUUCUGAGCUUCUGAGUGUCAGUCAAAGGCGCUAUGUGCAGAUUGUUUUGUUGCUGCCAGCCAGUGAUAGGUGUUCUUCUUGCUACCUUUACCAGCUGUAUGUUUCGUAAUCGCCGAAAUGUCGGCGAUUGUUAGCUGUAUCUAUUCGGCUCUACGGCUCAUCUCGUGCAUUAUCACUAAAGAGCUUUUUAUGUUUAGUUCAGAGACAGAGAUCCCUUUGCACAACUGUUGCAGAAAUUGAAAACACAACAAAGUCUGAGCUUCAUGGCUGUCAUUCAUUUAACAUGGUUUUGUUGCAGCCAGCUGGUGAAAGGUGUGAUCGAGUCAAGUUGAGCUGCUGCAUGCAGUUUAUUGAGCUGGUGUUAUCUGAAGUGUCACUGCAGGAAGACUUCUUGAAUUGGAUUUCGUGGUUGGUUUGAUGUUUAUGGUGUUGCUGUUUUGUGUACAGUGGUUUUGCAGCCCCUUUCCAAUUGAGAGAUGCUCUGAAAUGGAGUUUGGUGGAGACUUGCAGUUCAACAUAACACUUAAAUGUGUCAUUUGCCUAUGUUGGUGUCCAUGCAGUAAAUGCAGUAUUGAACAGUUGGGUAACAUGAUUUUCUUCUCUGACCGCAGGUGCAAGGAUUACGUGUUUGAAACUUAGAUAAGUUUGCAGUAGAAUAUUUUCAAAAAAAGCCGACUCUCCUUCAUCAAACGGUUCGAAAUACCCAUCCCCAGCAACGUCAACCUACAGAAAGAAAAAGGCUAGUUUCUAUGGCCUUGAAGUUCGCGGUGAUCAUUACGCAAAACGUGUCAUGCAGUGGUGUAGAGGUUGGGUGAGAACGACACGUGUUGCAUUAUCAAAAAGGUCCAACAGCCGCAAGGCUUAGGAGGUGAGGGUGAGGAAAAAAUCGUAUAAAAGGAGAGAGAAAAGGCGAUUGAAACCAGUCGAGUGAGCAUCUCCGACACGGCAACAACUCCAUUCUUCUUCGUAAUAUCAGUUCGCAAUCAUGGUUAAUUAUGGCGGUGUGUUGCUGCCGGGUGUUGUAUCGUUGAUGUCGACUACGAGAGAAAAUUGUAUAAAAGGUAAGAGAAAAGGCGACAGAAGUCAAUCAAGUGAGCAUCUCCGACCCGUCAACAACUGCAUUCUUCGUCGUAUUAACAGGUCGCAUUCGCAAUCACGGUUAACUAUGGCGUCGUGCAGCUAUUGGUUGUUUCGUCGAUUUCUGGGUCGACCACUGGUGUGCUGAUGCCCCUGGGUAUGGCGGAUACCAAACCGCAACGCCUUCGCCUUACUACACUACAGCAAACGCAACGACCAGUUACUACACUGAGGUUGCACAGUUAGGUUUACAGUUACACCACCAAGGGUCCAGGUACACCAUAACUUGUGCUACUCCGAGCUACUACACCGAAGACCAGAAGUUUUAUUCUUCCCCGGGCUACACUACCAAAUCGCAUGUGCACACCCCCAAGGCUCGGAAGUACUAAACCCCCAAGGCACCUGAGACUACACUGUAACUACGUAUGCUGUCCCAAGUAGUACACCAAGGCUCCAAAGUACUGCAGCACUAAGGCACUGGACUAUUACACGACUAUACAUGCUGCUCAACCUACGACACCGAGGCUCCAGCUUAUUACACCACCAAAGGGGUCGAACACAGUAGCGCCCAAGUACGUAGCAUCUCCGACACCGAACACGGCAGCCCCGAAGUUUCGAAUAAUCUUCGUUUCAAACAGUGGAACGACAAAGAGUGAGGCAAAGAUACCGGCGGCGUAGCAUUCGUACGUGUACACCGCUUUAAACUUGACAUUGUUGGUCGGAAAGCCGAACUUGACGAUGGCCGUACCAUCACCUACGACAAGUGCGUUAUUGCCACAGGUGGUAUGUCUUUUCCGAUCCCUGAGCGGUGCCCUCAAAGAUGCCCACGAGCACGUAACGCUGUUCCGCAACAUCGAUGGCGGUAACAUAGGCCGAGUCCUCCCUAAAUAUUUGAGCCAAUGGACUUCCGAGAAGGUGAAAGCGCAAGGUGUCAAUGUGUUGCCCAAAGCCAAUGUUGAGGGUGCAAUUUUGGAAGACUACAAGCUGGAGAUGUUGCGUUCUUUUGUGAUAUCAAAUUGGGUCGUCGUCGGAUGGAACAUCACCACUUUGCUGUUGUAUCAGGGCGAUUGGCUGGAGAGAACAAUACUGGCAACGAAACAUGGAUGAACAACUGCAGUGCACUGUCACCAAGUGCAUUCUUCGUCGUAUUAUCAGUACGCAAUCGGUGUCGUGCUGUUGCCGUUUGUCGUAUCGUUGAAGGUUGGGUCGAUCACUGGUGUAUCCAUGUCUCCUGGGUAUGGCGGAUACCAAAGCACCACGCCGUCGCCUUGCUACACAAC